rnacentral:rRNA from 1 species
UACGGGGGGGGGCAAGCGUUGUUCGGAAUUACUGGGCGUAAAGGGCUCGUAGGCGGCCAACUAAGUCAUACGUGAAAUCCCUCGGCUUAACCGGGGAACUGCGUCUGAUACUGGAUGGCUUGAGUUCGGGAGAGGGAUGCGGAAUUCCAGGUGUAGCGGUGAAAUGCGUAGAUAUCUGGAGGAACACCGGUGGCGAAAGCGGCAUCCUGGACCGAUACUGACGCUGAGGAGCGAAAGCCAGGGGAGCAAAGCGGG